GUUUAUGUAGUUUAAAAAAAAACAAAUUAUUUUCAAUAAUUAGAAAAAAAAAUAUUUCUUAAACU